rnacentral:RNase_P_RNA from 1 species
AGAGUAAAUUGAACAGUCGCGUAUAGAUACCGCAAGGUUCUAUAUGAGGAAAGUCCGGGCUCCAUAGAGCAAUGAUGCUGGAUAACGUCCAGUAAGGGAAACCUUAAGGAAAGUGCAACAGAAAAUAACCGCCCAGCUAGUAGAAAUACUAAACUAGGUAAGGGUGAAAAGGUGAGGUAAGAGCUUACCGCGAAUAUGGUGACAUAUUUGGUCAAUGUAAACCCCAUCUGGAGCAACACCUAAAUGUAAGAAGGAUAAGACUGCUCGUCAUCUUCUUAAGUUGGUGGCUUGAGAUAUAUAGCAAUAUAUAUCCUAGAUAAAUGACUGUUUUUAACAGAACCCGGCUUACAGAUUUACUUUAUCC